CAAGGGCCAUCCAUUGGUGUAUCAGGUAUGUGUAUAGAAAACGGGGUGCCCGUAAGGCGUGAGGAGACGCCCUAUACAGGGUAUGAAGGAGCGUGCCUGCUCCCCCCCCGAGGUAUGUGAGCUCAUAGGUUAGGUUGCCGGCUGGGGUAGGACUUGCAGCUAAUUGCCUAAUGUAGUAACGUUAUUAAGAUUCGAGCUAAAAGACGUCGUCAGCGUUGUGGAUUAUGUAUAAACCACGUUUUUUGUUCUAAAUGUCAGAGUGAGUGUGGUGUGAGUGAGACGCGUUCCUUUCAGGGAAUGAGUGUCAGCCUGCUUAUCUAGUACUGUGUUCUGAUUGCAUGGAAGCGUGUAAGGGAAGGUGGAUGGGCUUCUGUGAGAUCUGUUCCCAAGUGUUUAUAACUGAGCUAUAUAUCACUAUGCGGUGUUAAGGGUUGGUGGAAACUUUGAGGGAAUUAGGAAUCAAUAAGAAUUGUGGAAACAUCAUGGGGGGCUCCCAGGAGAAAGCUGUGUUUCCACAGGACCAUUAUGGGCUCCCAGUAAAUGGACUAAGCCAGCCCCGAACAUCAGCAACCCAUCUCAACCUGAUGACAACUACAGCGACUCCGGCGAGCGAUAGCCGCAUGGUGUGCAGGACAUCAUAUACAGUGCCGUGACUCCUGAGCUGCGACUGGAAUUCCCUUAGCAGAUUGCAGAAAACAUCUCAUCAGAAAGGUCUCUUGGACACUGGGAACUGCCAGGAGCAAUUGGCAGUUACAAGACUCAGAAGCACUAAUUGUGGGGGUCAGGUACAGUGGUUGAUCCAGAGUGGGGACUGUGGUAUUUUAUUCAUCGGGAUAUUGAAACUGUAGUUAAUACUGGUGUGCUGUAUAGUCUUUACUGUUAGUUUAACUGACAAGGAAUGCUUUGUAGAAGUGUGUAACAUAAAUCUAGUGUGUUCUUAUAGAUAGUGAUUGGUAUGCUGAUAAUCAUGCUUUGUUUACUGUAAUGCUAGCAAAAGGUGGUUCGAGAUGCGAUUCAUACAACCUGGCUCGUACAAAAAGGAAACGGGGGAAAUGUGGAGAGGUUUAGUGAUGACUGGCUGACUGAGAAAGGCCAUGCAGACACUGUGCAGCUGGU
ensembl:lncRNA